rnacentral:rRNA from 1 species
CAGUAGCCGCGGGAAUACGUAGGUGGCAAGCGUUGUCCGGAAUUAUUGGGCGUAAAGCGCGCGCAGGUGGUUUAAUAAGUCUGAUGUGAAAGCCCACGGCUCAACCGUGGAGGGUCAUUGGAAACUGUUAAACUUGAGUGCAGGAGAGAAAAGUGGAAUUCCUAGUGUAGCGGCGAAAUGCGUAGAGAUUAGGAGGAACACCAGUGGCGAAGGCGGCUUUUUGGCCUGUAACUGACACUGAGGCGCGAAAGCGUGGGGAGCAAACAGGAUUAGAUACCCCGGUAGUCCCUGUCUCUUAUAC